UGGGCUAUUAAAACAGGAAAGAUCCAAAGAUGAAGCAGUUACAAUGAGGAUGCAAAGAAAAGCCAGCAGAAGUGAAGGAAGUGAAAACCUGCAAUCUAGGCUGUACCCUCCGUGAAGGCAAAGAUGUCCUGCUAGUUCAUCACUCUUAUCUCUGGAGUCUAGGACAUUAUCCACAAAUAUUCCACAUAUAUUUGUGGAAAAAAAGAGAUUGAAGAAGAAUUCAGCAUCCAUGCUUGCCCCAACGAAGAGCUAUGUGGAACCCUCUAGCUGGUGUCUGCUCAUUGACCUCCUCUGAGGAUCCAGCUCUGCUCUCCUCUCCUCUCCACCUGGGCCUGCCCAUCACUGGGACCUACAGGACAGCAUCUGCUCUCAGCCAUGUAGCCCUAAAAAUAUUCUCUGUGACUCCAUCUGUCCACGUGGCAUAUCUGUCCAUCUGUCCACAAGGACACUUGGCAUGGCUCACACCAGACAGGCCAAUAACCAGCUUACGCCUCUGCUGUGAGGCUCUCCUCCUAAAAUUAUCAUAUCUGUGUCACAUUUACUCACACGGACUCAGAGGAGUCACCAUAAUCACACCCCCACACACCAGGAUCACACAAGAUUCUAGUUUUGUCUUAGGCUGCCAGUAAUAAAGUCCAGAUCCUAUCUCCAGGUUUCUGUCUAACUUCUAGAUCAAGAAAGCCUGGAUAAACUUCAGAUGAACACUUUAAAACUAUUUCCUGGAAGCUCCCCAAACCGAACAUGUGAAUCCUCCCAGGGCUGCACAAUUGAAAACAAGUUAUAUAAUUUCUGUUUCUCAGGGCGGAAAGGGCCGUGUAAGACAGAGAACACUGGGACUGUUG